AUCCCCAAAUACUCCUAAAUUUACUGCAUUGCGUUUUAUAUAUUCCGAGCUGUUACACGACAGCUUGUAAUUUUUAUAAAGGCAAAUGAUAUUAAUGCGUGCACAAUACUCUUCUAUGUUUAUCACAUAAGAGUGUUCAACGAAGGGAAAUAACUACAAGAUAACUCGAAAUUUGUUAAUUGUACAAGGUUUCACUGCUUCUUCUUUGUAGGGACCAUUCUUCCGAUACCUCAAUCAGACCGAUGUAGAUGAGGACUUUGAUACAGAGAACAUUGCCGACCAGACAGACGACAAUAUAGAACCGGUACUGUACAGAUUGUCAGAUGCAAAGGGAUGUCUUGAGUUCUCUCUGGAGAAAACGGGUCCGGUUAAAAUCGGCGAUUUCGAUAGAAACGACGUCUUUAUUUUCGACACCAAGCAGGAAUUGUUUGUGUGGGUGGGCAGUCAAACAACCCACCAGGAGAGGAAGAACGCAAUGACCUAUGCACAUAAUUAUUUGAUGAAGACAGGACACCCCUUGAUUCCAGUCAGUUGUCUCAACGAGGGCGCCGCCAACAAUUCCUUCAAUAUGGCUAUCACUGCUUGAGAAAGCCGACCACAGAAGAGCUUGAAUCAACAUGAACUCAGCUCAUCCACUUCGAACGCUUUCUGCGUAACUACUGAUAUUUCUAUAAAUCAAAAUGAUCGUCUAUUUCGCCAUUCGUUUCGACUGAGACUAUUAUCUGCUUAAUAUAUCCUUAAACACGAUUUUUGACUUCGUUUUGUGAAAAAAAUUCAAAUGUGAAUAUGCUGAAUGUCGUCUUUAUCUUAUGUUUGACUGCUCCACCGGGAUUUUACAUGUAUUCAUAUCCCACAAUAUAAUGUGUAGACGGAAACACCCUGAUCAUUUCAUUUUGAGCAUUAAUGGUGUCUGGAAUUAGUAGUGUAUAGUCAUAAGGUAUUGUUUGGUAUAGCAAUUUAUGAUUAAUGUAGUAGGAGUUAUUUGCAUUUAUCUCUCUCUCUCUUCUUCUUCUUCUUCUUGGUCGCGAAUCAAGAUUUUGAGAAUGCGAGGUACUCCCCCUCUGAGGCAUUAGUGAAUUUGUGAAUCCGCGUCAGACUGAUGGUAUCAUUUAUAUACUAGAUCAUAUCAUUGUAAUGGCAAUCACCAAAAAACGGGCCCCUGCUUUGAAAGGAGGUACUCUACAUCGUCAUAAUGGCUGACUUCCUUUAAAAACAUGAUGAAAAAAAAUCAGUAUCAGCAAUAUUUGACUUUGCGUUAUAUGUGCUAAGCCAAGAUCCAUAACUCUUUGAAUCAUAGAUAAACAAAAUUCAUUGAUACAUGUAUACAUGUAAGUUCGCAUUUAAUCCUCAGUUCAGUAGCUACAGUAAUGGUUCUUUGGUUUAUGCUAUUUAACUCUAUGUUUUCUUUGUUUUGCUUUUUAUUUUAUUUUAUCAUUUGUUUUAUUUUUGGUUUUGUUUUGUUUUGUUUGUUUUUGUUUUUAUGAUUAUUAUUUUUAAUUCUUCUAAGAAUCCAAGAACUGUAACAAAAUUUAUGAAUGUUGUUUUUAUAGUGAAAUUUUCUAUAUUUUUAUAAUAUAUCUAUUGAUUAUAAGGAGUAAGAUACUUCUAAUCUGUGCACUGGUGCACGUGUCUUUAAUUUUGGAACAAUGAAUUUAACGUGAUACCCUUGUUAACAAUUUUAAUCAUCAUGUUUUGGUUGUCUGUUAAUGUUGGUAAUUUUUUAAAUUGGUUUUCAUAUGAAUAAAAGAGAGUAUUUCACA